rnacentral:rRNA from 1 species
AAAACGACUCUCGGCAACGGAUAUCUCGGCUCUCGCAUCGAUGAAGAACGUAGCGAAAUGCGAUACUUGGUGUGAAUUGCAGAAUCCCGUGAACCAUCGAGUCUUUGAACGCAAGUUGCGCCCGAAGCCAUCGGGCUGAGGGCACGUCUGCCUGGGCGUCACUC